UCCGGGUGGCCACAGUGCUCUAGAAGCCGCUUUGGAUGCCAGAUUUCCAGACUCGUGGAGCCACAGAGGCCCAGGUCAACUGCGUGUCCUUCCCUGUGAAGAAUUGUGUCUACUUCAUCUCUGCCUCUCACAUUGACUUGGAGCUUUACAGGAAGAGCAAUGGCCCCGGCCCCGAUUAACAAGAGGAAGAGGGAGGAAGCAACAUGCUCCAUCUGCCUGCAGCUGAUGACAGAGCCUGUGAGCUUUGACUGUGGGCAUAGCUUUUGCCACCAGUGCAUAGAGGGCAGCAUUGAGGAGCAACAAGAGAAGUCAGGGGAGCAACCAGGGACAUCAGUGGAGCAACCAGAGAGGAGGAGAUCAAGGUGGAGAUGGGCCUCUGACUACCGUUUGCUUCGGGCAUCAAUGGGUGAGAAAUAUAUGGAGUGUUUAGGUGAAUACAUCAGUGCAGCCCACAGGAAGUUAGAGAGUGAGAAGCUGUGUGAGGAACACGGAGAGCAGCUCCGCCUGUUCUGUGAGGACACCGGGCAGCUCAUCUGCAGUGGCUGUGCACAGUCUCCCCAGCACAGUGGACAUGACCAUGUCCUUGCCAAAGAUUUGCCUCUGCGCUCCAAGGAAAAACUCCAGGAGGCUAAGACAAAACUGAGAGACCUGAGUUGGAAGUUGAAGCCAAGAGAACAAACAACAGAAUGGGAGGACAUGAAAGACUCCUUGGCCACGAGUUCAGUCCCAGAGUCCGUGUCUUCAGAACCUCACACAGACUGCAACAAUUCUGAGCUCCACUGUGAGGAGAGGAAAAAAUUAAAAACCGACGAAGGAGGAGCUUGGGCCUCAGCCCCCGCAGCCAAGAGGAUGAGGAUGGAAGCCACGUGCCCCAUCUGCCAUGAGCUAACAACAGGUCCUGUGAGCUUCUCCUGUGGGCACAGCUGCUGCCGCAGGUAUGCCGGGGGCAGCCUUGAGGAGCAACCAGAGGAAUCAUCGUGGAGCUUGGACUGUCCUUCCUGUCCGGUAGACGUGGAAAUGUACAGAGACCUGCUUAGAACACUAGGCAGCAUUGAAGCCAAACUGGAGCUGGAGUGUGAGAGGCCGUGGGAAGGUCAUGGGGACCAGCCCCACCAGCUCAGUGAGGACACUGGGCAGUUCAUGUGCAGGGGUUCUGCGUGGUCCCCCCAGCAAAGCGGACACAACCAUCUUGUCAAAGAUACGUGUCCAGGCUCUGAGGAAAAACUCCAGGAGGUUGUGACAAAACCGAGGGAACAGGAAGAACAAUGUGACAGUCUGAAGUUGAGCACAGGAGAACAAAUAAGGGAAUGUGAGGAAAAACUCCAGGAGGCUCAGACAAAACUGCAAGAACUAUUAGCUCAGUCUAACAGUCGGAACUUUAAGUCAAGUGAACAAGCAAGAGAACGGGAGGAAAAACUCCAUUUGGAUAAGAAAAAACUGAGAGAUCUGUUAAACCGGUGGUUGAGACUGAAGUUGAAGUUAAGAGAACAGAGGGAGAAAUUGCAGGAGGCUGUGACAAAACUGAGAGACCUGAUAGACCAGUGGUUGAGUCUGAAGUUGAAGUCAAGAGAACAAACAUGUAAAUGUGAGGAAAAACUCCAGGAUUUUAGGACAAAAUGCAGAGACCUGUUAGACCAGUGGUUGAAUGUGGAGUUCAAGUUAAGAAAACAAGAGGAAAAACUCCUGGAGCGUGUGACAAAACUGAGAGACCUGUUAGACCAAUGGUUGAGUCUGGAGUUGAAGUUAAGAGAAUGGAGGGACAAGAAAGGCACCUUGAAAAGAAAUCUGUCCUCUUCGGAGUCUAGGAGUUCAGUCCCAGAGUCCGUGUCUUCGAAGCCUCACACUGGCAGCAACGAUUCUGAGCUCCACUGUGAGGAGAGGAAAAGGUUAAAGACCAACGAAGGAGGAGCCACGGCCUCAAACCCCACAGCCAAGACGUCAGGGGAACAACCAGGGACAUCAGUGGAGCAGCCAGGGACGUCAGGGGAGCAAUCAGCAAGUAGGAGAUGUCCCUUCUACCAUCCUUCAAUUCAGCAAUCAGUUCUUAGGGAGGCUAUGCAGCGUUUAGAUGAAGCCAUCAGUGCAGCCCCGAGGGACUUAGAGGGUGAGAAGCUGUGUGAGAUACACGCAAUGCGGCUCAGCCUGUUCUGUGAGGACACCGGGCAGCUCAUCUGCAAGUUCUGUGCCCGGUUCCGCAAGCACAGAGGACACAAACAUGUCCGCGCCAAAAAUGCCUGUCUGCGCUCCAAGGAAAAACUCCAGGAGGCUGAUACAAAACUGAGGGUACAGGCAGAACAAUGUGACAGUCUGAAGUUGAGCACAGGAGAGCAAACGAGGGAAUUGGAGGAAAAACUCCAGGAGGCUCAGACAAAACUGGGAGAGCUCUCAGCCCAGUCUAAGAGUCGGAAGUUUAAGUCAAGUGAACAAGAAAGAGAACAAGAGGGAAAACUCCAGAAGGCUAGGACAGAACUGCAAGAACUGUUUGCCCAUUCUAAGAGUCAGAAAUUGAAUUCAAGAGAACAGGAGGAAAAACUCCAGGAGGGUGUGACAAAACUGAGAGACCUGUUAGACCAGUGGUUGAGUCUGAAGUUGAAGCUAAGAGAACAGAGGGAGAAAUUGCAGGAGGCUGUGACAAAACUGAGAGACCUGAUAGACCAGUGGUUGAGUCUGAAGUUGAAGUCAAGAGAACAAACAUGUGAAUGUGAGGAAAAACUCCAGGAUUUAAGGACAAAACGGAGAGUGUUAGACCAGUGGUUGAAUCUGGAGUUGAAGAUAAGAGAACAAGAGGAAAAACUCCUGAAGACUAGGACAAUAGUGAGAGAACGUUUAGACCAGUGGUUGAAUCAGAAGGUGAAGUCAAGAGAACAAACAAGAGAACAGGAGGAUGUGAAAGACACCUUGACCAGGAGUUCAGUCCUGGAGUCUGUGUCUUCGGAGCCUCAUACUGACUGCAAUGAAUCUGAGCUCCACAGUGAUGAGAGCAAAAACUUAAAGACCAAUGAAGGGGAACAACCAGGGACAUCAGGGGAGGAUCAAGGGAUGUCAGAUGAGGAUUCAUGCAUGUCAGAUGAGGAUUCAUGGAUGUCAGACGAGGAUUCAUGGAUGUCAGACGAGGAUUCAUGGAUGUCAGACGAGGAUUCAUGGAUGUCAGACGAGGAGUCAUGGAUGUCAGACGAGGAUUUAUGGAUGUCAGAGGAGGAAUCAUGGAAACCAGGUGAGCGUGCCUCUGGAUGAAGACACAGCUCAUGAUAACAUAACUCUGUCUGAGGACCAGACAGAAGUGACUUACAGACAUGUGGGACUCCUGACACGACAUUCUGCUGGAGCAGGUCUCCAGCACGGACACACCGUUGAGAAGCUUCACACUUCUAGGAGGUUCAGCAAGUGACCCGUGUCCUGGGCUAUGAGGGCUUCACCUCAGGGAGACAUUACUUUGCAGUGGACAUGGGAGAAGGAGCUGAGUGUGAUUUGGGAGUUUGUCUGGAGAAUGUGCCCAGGGAUGUAGAAAGGAUGCUGAGCCUCAGUCUGCUUUCUGGGCCAUCAAAUGCACAAACAAUGAUCACAUUCACCUGACUGGUCCUGCACCCUCUCUUCUUCCUCGGGACCCAUGCCAGAUUUGGGGGUCUUUCUGGACUGUGAGGCUGGACAUGACAGCUGGUGCCCACAUAGAAACUUUUGCAUAGGCCUCCUUCCGUGAUACUCUCCAAGCCUUUUACAGGGUUAGUCAUUCUUCUUUAUUCCUGCCUCCACCAGAAACAUAGGAAAAGAGUAAAAUCUUUGGUUUACUCUUGGUUUAACCUUCCUUUAACCCUCAUAGAGAAUAUAAUAGAACCACUUGAAGGCAGAAAUUUCAUUUGCUUUCUUAACUAGAUUUCCCUAUACCUGGAACAGUGCUGAGCUGUCAGUGACUGAUCAAUAAUGAAUCUGCAUGGAGGGCCUCCCAGGUGGCACAGCGGGUUGAGCGCAGCAUUGUGAAGCUGUCCGCACCCUCUGUGGCAUGGGUUCGAUUCCUGGCCAGCCAGGGAGAUACCCACAUGGCACAGCAGACCUCUCCUGAUUUGUCCACUGCUCCCCUCAGCAGUGUUUUCAGGAGUCCACCUUUUCUGCUCCCUGCUCUGUCUCUGGUAAAUUCUGUCACCCUCCCAUGCUUCUUGUCUAUACCCCAGCGCUUGUAUAAAUAAAUAAACCUUUAAAAAAUAAAAAAAUAAAUCUGCAUGGACGAAUGGGUGUGAGAACUCAAAAUGCUACAGAGGACCACCAUGUGAUGGGGGAGAGGAAGAUAAAAGGAUCACACGUCGUCCUCUCCAUCCCUGCUCGGUGGGGUAAGAGGCCUCAUUUCCAAGGGUCCUUCUUUGAGCAGCAGGGAGGCCAGCGGCCUGGAGGGCUGAGUGCUUCCGGGUUAUUUGAUGCCAUUAAAAGAUGUGUGGGGGUUUCUCUUUGUUUUUAUUAUUGUCUCUUUCGCUGUGCAGAAGCUCUUUAAUUUGAUGUAGUCCCAGCUGUUUAUCUUUGCCUUCACUAUCACUGCUUUGGGUGAU